rnacentral:ribozyme from 1 species
GCAAUCCAGCAGAAGUCCCCAUCGCUUGCCUGCAAGCCUCUGAAGGCGAUCACAAAGUUCUUCGUCUCGAGCCCUCGCAAUUU